rnacentral:rRNA from 1 species
UACGUAGGUGGCGAGCGUUAUCCGGAAUUAUUGGGCGUAAAGGGUGCGCAGGCGGCAAGAAAAGCUUAAGGUGAAAGCGUGGGGCUCAACCCCAUAAAGCCUUAGGAACUAGCUUGCUAGAGUGCAGGAGAGGGCGAUGGAAUUCCAUGUGUAGCGGUAAAAUGCGUAGAUAUAUGGAGGAACACCAGUGGCGAAGGCGGUCGCCUGGCCUGUAACUGACGCUGAGGCACGAAAGCGUGGGGAGCAAAUAG